rnacentral:lncRNA from 1 species
ACACUCUAUACUACUCUAUGCGGGAACUAGGACUGACUAGCCACUACAGUCAGUUAAUGCAUUUUAUCAUUUCAUAUCGUCAUCUGUAAUUUCCACAUUCAAUUCCAUACAUUUCUAACAACCUAGUGAUCAAUCAAUACAAUGAUCUCACUCAUUGCCACACACGUCAAACCCUAGACUUAACCGACUCAUCUUACCAGUCCGACUCGAUCCUAUGACACCUUUAACUCCCCGUUACCCGACCAUGAGCUAAAGACCCUACAAUGCACAUCCUUUUCAUCAAUACGUCCUUUUCAUCAGUGGGUAGCCCCAACUAGGCUUCUACCCCAUAUUCUUGUGGAUUGGCCACAUCUCCUAUGGGUGCUUCCAUAUUCAUGUGGAUUGGCCACAUCUCCUAUGGAUACCUAGCGUGAACUACUACAACACAUACUUUCCUUAGACUCUAUAUGCUUUCCCACCCAUGCUUAACCUUAACGUUAUUCUUCUAUACUUUCACUUAUCCUUUCACAUCCUUAUCAAUUACACUUAUCCCUUCUCAUUUUUCAUUUACUUUCCCUUUUCAUUUAGACUUGUACUUGGACUCAUUCACUAGACGCCACCCGUUAUCGGUGUCGCACACAAUACACAUCGCACUCAAGUUCUACUUCAAUAACAUUAACAAUCAUUACUCAUCUAUCAGCUUAGCAUUCAUUUCUCUCUAGCAUCCUAGCUUUAAUCACAAACCACACAUGGGACUACACAUCCAAACAUACAAGCAUCACUCAUCAACCAAUCAACAUCACCACAACAUAGAUCAGUUCAUCAAGUCC